rnacentral:rRNA from 1 species
GCGNCUUGCCUAUAGAAAUUCUUCGGAAUGGACAUAGAUACAAGCUAGCGGCGGAUGGGUGAGUAACGCGUGGGUAACCUGCCCUUAAGUCUGGGAUACCAUUUGGAAACAGAUGCUAAUACCGGAUAAAAGCUACUUUCGCAUGAAAGAAGUUUAAAAGGCGGCGUAAGCUGUCGCUAAAGGAUGGACCUGCGAUGCAUUAGCUAGUUGGUAAGGUAACGGCUUACCAAGGCGAUGAUGCAUAGCCGAGUUGAGAGACUGAUCGGCCACAUUGGGACUGAGACACGGCCCAAACUCCUACGGGAGGCAGCAGUAGGGAAUCUUCCACAAUGGACGAAAGUCUGAUGGAGCAACGCCGCGUGAGUGAAGAAGGUUUUCGGAUCGUAAAGCUCUGUUGUUGGUGAAGAAGGAUAGAGGUAGUAACUGGCCUUUAUUUGACGGUAAUCAACCAGAAAGUCACGGCUAACUACGUGCCACAGCCGCGGUAUACAA